rnacentral:lncRNA from 1 species
GUGUCAUCAGGUGUGAAUUAUUGAAAAAAUUACCGAUCUACUGCUAAAUGUUCAUCACACAUUUUACAAUUUUAAUAAAAACAAAGGAGUAAUAAAUGCGUUGAUUUUCUUACGCUACACAUUACUGUUCUCGUAACGUUAUUGAAGUAUUAAGUACAUCGUCUCAUUAAGCAGAGUUUUAUUUAUAAUAGUUCUUUGGUACACAUAUCAUGUUGUAUGCCCUAGAAAAUAUAUCAUUGUGAAAAACUGUAACGAUUCCAGAUUUAUUUUUACCAAGAAUGACAUCAUCAUUUCAGCAGACAGUUGAUAUUCCAAUAUGUACUAAAAGUGCGUCACUACAAGUUGACACGGUUUUGUCUUCAAAGGAAUUAACAGUCAUGCAAAACUAUCUUAAA